rnacentral:rRNA from 1 species
CAGUCGCCACGGUAAUACGUAGGGUGCAAGCGUUGUUCGGAUUUACUGGGCGUAAAGGGCGCGUAGGCGGGCUUCUCAGUCAGAGGUGAAAUCCCAAGGCUCAACCUUGGAACUGCCUUUGAUACUGGAAGUCUUGAGUUCGAGAGAGGUAAGUGGAACUGCGAGUGUAGAGGUGAAAUUCGUAGAUAUUCGGAGGAACAUCAGUGGCGAAGGCGGCCAUCUGGGACAACACUGACGCUGAAGCACGAAAGCGUGGGGAGCAAACAGGAUUAGAGACCCCAGUAGUCCCUGUCUCUUAUAC